CAUGCUACCACUGAGCUCUAUCUCCAGCCCUUAGCUGAACAUUUUCAAGAGUAUUCUCUAAAACUUGUUUACUGGGGCGGGGGUGGACUGAAGAGAGUUGGCUAAGCAGUUAAGAUCACUUGUGGCUCUUGCAACAGGUCACAGUUUUGGUUCCCAGAACCUGGGGACCAGAUGGCUGUUACCCAUGAUUCCAGUUCCGAGGGAUCCAACACCAUCUUCUGACUUCUGAAGGUGCUGAGGAUUGAACACACAGCCUUACACAUGGGCUCAAGCUGAACUCUGCUCAACUAAGCUCCACAUAUAUCCUCCCUCUACAACCCAAGACAAGGGAGCAGAUCCUCUCUGAAAUAGCCUAACUUCAUUGCAGAGGCCCAGAACAGAACAACAGUCACUCAUGUGCACAGUGUAUGGAUGGCUUAAGCUGCCUCCUGUGCACCACACCUCUCCACAGCAGCAGACUUCCUUUAGGUGAUUGCUGUACCAAAAUAUUGCACUGUUUAAAAUAACCCCGGACUUUCGAAUUAUAACCUGUUUUUAUGUUCAAGCUAUCUGUGUAUUAUUUCUCCUGCAGUUGUACAUAAAAUGUUUUUACAUUUUAAAAAAAGGGCAAAUACUAUAGAAUUGUAUUACAUGAAAUAUACAGAAUAUACAAAUUCAUAGAGACAGAAAGAUUAGAUGUUAUCUCAAGAUGGAGAAGAAAGGAAUAUAGAGCAAUGAUUUCCUAAGUACAGAAUCUGUUUUGUGUGAUGGAAAAGCCCCACAAAUGGACAGUAGUAUCAGGACAUAAUAUCAUGAAUGUAAUAAAUCAAUAUAAUUAAUGUAAUUAAUGAAUAUCAUAAAUAUAAUUAUUGAAUGAAUACUGAGAAUGUAAUCAAUGAAUACCACAAAUGUAAUUAAUAUCACGAGUGUAAUUAAUGAAUAUCAUGAGUGUAAUUAAA